rnacentral:rRNA from 1 species
UACGUAGGGUCCGAGCGUUGUCCGGAAUUAUUGGGCGUAAAGGGCUCGUAGGCGGUUUGUCGCGUCGGGAGUGAAAACCAGGUGCUUAACACCUGGCCUGCUUUCGAUACGGGCAGACUAGAGGCAUUCAGGGGAGAACGGAAUUCCGUGGUGUAGCGGUGAAAUGCGCAGAUAUCAGGAGGAACACCGGUGGCGAAGGCGGUUCUCUGGGAAUGUCCUGACGCUGAGGAGCGAAAGUGUGGGGAGCGAACAGG